UACUGAAAUUGUACUAGGAUCCAUAAUAGAAACACAUAAAUACACACACUCUGCCUUUCAUCCCCUGGUGGGAGGGAAUUUUUGUUUACUUGUUUACCUGUUACAGAUGGGACAGGAAUUGCCAUGAGCAACUUGCAGCCUUUCAUUGCUGAAUCUCUUCUGAAUUGCAGAGGCCACAUUUACAGAAGCAAGAAAUGAUUGAGUAACUAAUUAACCAGAUGACAUAAAAUAGAAGAGUAGAAGCCCCCAUUCAGUUGCAGAUUUCUUUCCAGAUAUUUACUGAAAUUCAGCACAGGAUACCCUAAAUUUGAGGACUGAGUACAGUUGUAUCAUAUUGAAAAUUUGGUUUCAUGUUCUCCACAUUUCAGAAGAGUGACUUGAGAACAUCUUUCCCACGGGGAAGCCCUGCCACCUGCUACCAAGAGAUGUGGGAAUCAUGAGGACACAAGAAAAAUCAUCUAGAAUCCUGCUGCUGCAAUGUUAGAAGGAGUUUCUUAGAAAAACAAACAUCUCUUGGGAACAUCAGGUGUUUGAAAAUGGUGAGCUAUUACUGCCAAAGUUUUGCCACGAGGCAGCAUUACAGAAUAAAUUAUCCAGUAUUUUAUUGUACAAUAUAAACAGCCAGUUGAGCAUGAGGUGGCGGAAAAUGGUAUGAGAAGAGCAGCAAAAAGGGAGGAAGAAGAUACCUAGAAGCACAUAGACUGCAUGUGAAAAAAUCAUGGAGAGAGCUCUUGUCAGGCUCACAUUUAGUCAACACACAAUAAUUUUUAAUACAGCAGUUUUUCCUUCCUCCCAGCCUGCUGCUGCCCUUUGCUGCUCAGCUGGUAAAACUGAGCCCUUCUGCCCUGUUUAUUUUAUGUAUUUAUUUAAUUUUCUUUUUUGAGAAUGAAAUGGGAAGACAUUCAAAUGACAAAUGCUUUUGUUUGGUUUUUUUUCCUUUUAUUUCCACAUGGCUGUUUAUGCUCCAUGUGAAUGUAAACUGUUGGCUGAAUUGUUGGAUUUUAUAAGCCAGAUAUCCUAAAAAAGCAUUAAAUAAAAUAUAUAAUGCUGCCUUUAAUAAAUUCUCACCUCAAGGGUUUUA